ACACCGCUCCCUACAGCUUGUACUCUGCCUCUGACUCUCUUCCAAGAACAAUUUGGCAAGUUCUAAUCUACAUCUUGCAAAAAAAACAAAAAACAAAAAACAGAGAGGUAGGAGGGCCACAGCACCUGGGGUCCCAGAAGGCAGACUGACCUAUUCCUACAGCAGGGAGACAAGGUCUCAUUCUGUUGCCCAGGCUGGAGUGCAGUGGUGCAAUCACGGUUCACUGCGACCUGGAACUCCAGGGUUCAAGCAAUCCUCCUGCCUCAGCCUGCCGAGUAGCUGUGACAACAGGUGCGAGCCACCAUGCCCAGCUAAGAUUUCACCAUGUUGCCCAGCUGGUCUUGAACUCCUGGCCUCAAGCAAUUCUCCUGCUUCAGGCUCCCAAGUUGCUGGAAUUACAGGGCUGCAUGGAGCCUGCUGAGUCUCCAACCCACCUCGCUCACCGCUCUGACCACCGACAGGCAGAGCAAAGGAUGCGGGAGUUGCCUCUGCUGCCCAUCUAAGGGGACGUGGGCAGAGAAGCAAAGGCCUCUGCUCUCCCUCCAUCCAUCCCGGUGUGCUGGCCCCAAUGGAACAGGAGUCCUUCAACUAUUGCCUGCCAGAGACCCAAUUGCAGGGACUGGAGUCUGCAUCUGGAUGAGCUGGGCUGUAGAUUGAAGUCUCAGAAGCAGGGAAGGUUGGAAGGGGUAGGGUCCCAGAGCCCAUGGGGUUAUUGCUGAGAAGAUAUGCAGGGGACACAUUCCCCAGGGGCAGAGUAGAAGCCCUGGGCCUGGAAUCCCCAGGCGCUCUGUGAAGGGGCGGGGCAGAUGGGGACCCCUCGUGGAAGCCCCUGGGAAGAAAUUAACCACGGAAGGGCAUAGCCUGCCUGACGUCAGCGCUGGGCUCACCA
rnacentral:antisense_RNA from 1 species